rnacentral:rRNA from 1 species
CGGAGGGUCCAAGCGUUAUCCGGAAUCAUUGGGUUUAAAGGGUCCGUAGGCGGUUUAAUAAGUCAGUGGUGAAAGCCCAUCGCUCAACGAUGGAACGGCCAUUGAUACUGUUGAACUUGAAUUAUUAGGAAGUAACUAGAAUAUGUAGUGUAGCGGUGAAAUGCUUAGAGAUUACAUGGAAUACCAAUUGCGAAGGCAGGUUACUACUAAUAUAUUGACGCUGAUGGACGAAAGCGUGGGGAGCGAACAGGAUUAGAUACCCUGGUAGUCCACGCCGUAAACGAUGGAUACUAGCUGUUCGGAGCAAUCUGAGUGGCUAAGCGAAAGUGAUAAGUAUCCCACCUGGGGAGUACGUUCGCAAGAAUG